AAAAAUGUAACAAGGUCUCCGUUGGUGAACCAGCGGAGGGAUCAUUACCGAGUUAUACAACUCCCAAACCCACUGUGAACCUUACCUCAGUUGCCUCGGCGGGAACGCCCCGGCCGCCGGCCCCCGCGCCGGCGCCGGACCCAGGCGCCCGCCGCAGGGACCCCAAACUCUCUUGCAUUACGCCCAGCGGGCGGAAUUUCUUCUCUGAGUUGCACAAGCAAAAACAAAUGAAUCAAAACUUUCAACAACGGAUCUCUUGGUUCUGGCAUCGAUGAAGAACGCAGCGAAAUGCGAUAAGUAAUGUGAAUUGCAGAAUUCAGUGAAUCAUCGAAUCUUUGAACGCACAUUGCGCCCGCCAGCAUUCUGGCGGGCAUGCCUGUUCGAGCGUCAUUUCAACCCUCGAGCCCCCCCGGGGGCCUCGGUGUUGGGGGACGGCACACCAGCCGCCCCCGAAAUGCAGUGGCGACCCCGCCGCAGCCUCCCCUGCGUAGUAGCACACACCUCGCACCGGAGCGCGGAGGCGGUCACGCCGUAAAACGCCCAACUUUCUUAGAGUUGACCUCGGAUCAGGUAGGAAUACCCGCUGAACUUAAGCAUAUCAAA
rnacentral:rRNA from 1 species